GCCCAGCUAGCUCAGUCCAUAGAGCAUGAGACUUUUAAUCUGAGGGUCGUGGGUUCGAGCCCCACGUUGGGCA
rnacentral:tRNA from 1 species